UCCCAUCAAAAGGUCGUCUCUCUCGCGC
rnacentral:sRNA from 1 species